UGCAGGAGCAAUUAAUCUUCUUGUUGUGGCUCGUGUGUAUUUUAUAUUUGCCUUUCUAUCUAAUUUACUUCACAUGUUUCUACAUUUGCUGUGUUCAUGGUGCAGGUUGAAUCAACAGGUUUUAUAUUUUGAAAUUGCAUUCCCUAAAUAGAAUUCCCAGUCUUAUCUUUUGCUCUACAUUUCCAUGGCGGUAAUCAAUUAGAUUA
rnacentral:misc_RNA from 1 species